AUCAAAUGAUACGUUGUUACCAAAGAUGACAACGUUUAUCAAGCAUAAGUCAUUGUGUGCCAUAUAGGUUGGUUGUCCUCUUAACCAAUGAGUGUGGAGACACUGGUAUGGCAUACAGGUAAGAUGUAAGGAUACAUCUGCACUGAACGUGACCGACUCCGGAGCUAUUUCUGUGGUCAAGAUUUGCUUCGAUAGAAUAUGGGUAUAAAUGUCUCUCCGACCUGAGACCAUCACGGUGACUUGCAAGCAACUCACUGUACUUAGGCACUGGACUACCUGAAUUUCUAAUUC
rnacentral:lncRNA from 1 species